rnacentral:rRNA from 1 species
UACGUAGGGUGCAAGCGUUGUCCGGAAUUAUUGGGCGUAAAGAGCUCGUAGGCGGUUUGUCGCGUCUGCUGUGAAAACUCGGGGCUCAACUCCGAGCUUGCAGUGGGUACGGGCUAGACUAGAGUGCGGUAGGGGAGACUGGAAUUCCUGGUGUAGCGGUGGAAUGCGCAGAUAUCAGGAGGAACACCGGUGGCGAAGGCGGGUCUCUGGGCCGUAACUGACGCUGAGGAGCGAAAGCAUGGGGAGCGAACAGG